UACGACAAAGGCAAACCCUGGGCGAUCAGGGGACGCAAAGUAAAGGGUCUUGUCGAGCCGUUUAAACGGCUUUAUGAAAGAUAGCCUUACUGCCGAAG
rnacentral:ncRNA from 1 species